rnacentral:rRNA from 1 species
CCUACGGAUGGCAGCAGUGGGGAAUAUUGGACAAUGGGGGCAACCCUGAUCCAGCCAUGCCGCGUGUGUGAAGAAGGCCCUCGGGUUGUAAAGCACUUUCAGUGAGGAAGAACGCCUGGUGGUUAAUACCCAUCAGGAAAGACAUCACUCACAGAAGAAGCACCGGCUAACUCCGUGCCAGCAGCCGCGGUAAUACGGAGGGUGCGAGCGUUAAUCGGAAUUACUGGGCGUAAAGCGCGCGUAGGUGGCUUGAUAAGCCGGUUGUGAAAGCCCCGGGCUCAACCUGGGAACGGCAUCCGGAACUGUCAAGCUAGAGUGCAGGAGAGGAAGGUAGAAUUCCCGGUGUAGCGGUGAAAUGCGUAGAGAUCGGGAGGAAUACCAGUGGCGAAGGCGGCCUUCUGGACUGACACUGACACUGAGGUGCGAAAGCGUGGGUAGCAAACAGGAUUAGAUACCCUUGUAGUC